CAUCUAGGCGGGAUGUUAAGUCAGGUGUGAAAUUCCACGGCUCAACCGUGGACCUGCAUUUGAUACUGGCAUUCUUGAGUUCGGUAGAGGAAGGCGGAAUUCCCGGUGUAGCGGUGAAAUGCGUAGAUAUCGGGAAGAACACCGGUGGCGAAGGCGGCCUUCUGGACCUGGACUGACGCUGACAUGCGAAAGUGUGGGGAUCAAACGG
rnacentral:rRNA from 1 species